CCUACGGGCGGCUGCAGUGGGGAAUAUUGGACAAUGGGGGUAACCCUGAUCCAGCCAUGCCGCGUGUGUGAAGAAGGCCCUCGGGUUGUAAAGCACUUUCAGUGAGGAAGAACGCCUGGUGGUUAAUACCCAUCAGGAAAGACAUCACUCACAGAAGAAGCACCGGCUAACUCCGUGCCAGCAGCCGCGGUAAUACGGAGGGUGCGAGCGUUAAUCGGAAUUACUGGGCGUAAAGCGCGCGUAGGUGGCUUGAUAAGCCGGUUGUGAAAGCCCCGGGCUCAACCUGGGAACGGCAUCCGGAACUGUCAAGCUAGAGUGCAGGAGAGGAAGGUAGAAUUCCCGGUGUAGCGGUGAAAUGCGUAGAGAUCGGGAGGAAUACCAGUGGCGAAGGCGGCCUUCUGGACUGACACUGACACUGAGGUGCGAAAGCGUGGGUAGCAAACAGGAUUAGAUACCCUAGUAGUC
rnacentral:rRNA from 1 species